AUACGUAGGGGGGCAAGCGUUAUCCGGAUUUACUGGGUGUAAAGGGAGCGUAGACGGCCAGACAAGUCUGAAGUGAAAGCCCGCAGCUCAACUGCGGGACUGCUUUGGAAACUGCCAGGCUAGAGUGCAGGAGAGGUAAGUGGAAUUCCUAGUGUAGCGGUGAAAUGCGUAGAUAUUAGGAGGAACACCAGUGGCGAAGGCGGCUUACUGGACUGUAACUGACGUUGAGGCUCGAAAGCGUGGGGAGC
rnacentral:rRNA from 1 species